AGGUGUUGAUCCUUCUAUUCAGCCCCUGCAAAAUCACCACAAGGAGAGCAACAGGGACACCUAGUGGAUGGGUAGAAGGGUCAUCACACCCCUGUUUUUGUGAACGGUACACACCAAUUUAGUUUUUCAGCUGUUACUGUGGAGGACAUACAUAAAACACUGAAUGCUCUGGAUACAAAAAAGGCACAUGGACCGGAUAUUAUUGGUCCUUCUGAUUUUAUUGCAGAACCACUUACACAUCACUUUUUACCUGAUAGAGACAAACAAUAAAAUCCCCAAAAUAUGGAAAUCUGCCUUUGUCCGUCCUAUGUUAAAGGAGGAGAUCCAACCAUGUUAAAUAACUACAGGCCAAUUUCAAAAUUAUCUAUAUUGUCCUAUCCUUGAAGAUUUAAUCAGUGAGCAGCUUAAUCAGUGAGUUUUUGAAUUCAAAUAAUAGUUUACAUGUGUCGGAGGUGCUCUGCUCUUCCCCCUUGCUUCAUCAAAACACCGCAGCAGAGCAACAACCGCAAAGAGACAGCGCAUUGUUUCACUGAGAUACAUGACUUGUGUAUGUUUGGACAGAGAGAGAAAGACACAGAGACAGAGAUUCAUUCAACUCGCCCAGAGUGGUUCAUGCAAUUUUCUGAAUUUAUCUGACAUACACGUUUUAGUCGCUUCAAAGCUAAAGCUAGCAGUAAUAGGAGAGCUCACAACAUACCCUUAUAUAUGCAGAUUACAGAGGCUACAGAUGUCUUACAAAUUGUAUUCUUCAGAUAUAAGGCACCAUGCUUGUUUGGUAGACCGAAAAGUCAUUCAAUGUAUUAUUCCCACUAAAAAUGUCUGAUAUGACUGUACAUUUUUUCAUAUUGUUCAGGCUGUAGACCUGCCAUUCUUCAUUUGUUUUGUGCAAAGUACCUUAUUUUGACCACAAGGGUGUAGUAUAGUUCUGUUUCUGUUUAAUUGGUAACCACCCAGUAACCUCCCAGCAUCAGGUGUAUGAAGGUGGAAAUCAGUGUGAGUUGAAUGGUGGUGGAGCACAACAAUUCUUAGUGACAUCCAGAUAAGAGCCAGUUUAACCAGUCAAUCUGCAUGUUCCUUCCAACCACAAGAGCGACAGCAUGCCAGUGUGACGACCAACACAAAGUCACCAGAGAAGUUGGAUGUCAGACAGACCGCUUUGUUGUGGAGAAAUUGCAGAAGUCAAAGGUCAAUGGUGCUAAAUGCAAUGCAUGUGAGGACCUUCACCAGAAUGACAUAUUGAAAAUCAUGUGCAGAACUACAGAGACUACCAAACCAACCUGCUGGGUGGACUGAAACAGAGGGACGCAGUAUCUCUAGGUUGUGAUAUGAAAGCCGACAGUCAAGGACAUUGUGCAAAGUAUGUUCCUAUUCCAUGAUGGAUCUCAGCGCAAAUAAAAUUGUUGAUGUCCAACUUGUACAGCAACAAAGGCCACAUACAAGCUGGAGAAGGUGCUAAUGAACAACGAUGUGAAAAAGCUGAACCCUGUCUACCAGACAUCUGCCUUGGAGGGGUUCCACAGUGUGAUCCUGCGUUUUGCACCAAAAACGUGGCCUUCUCAUACUUAGGGAUGCUUUGCAGGAUUUACUUGAUUGCAUUGCAUUUCAAUGAAAACCUGCGUACCCAAGCAAGGACUGCAGGAGAACUGCAGUUCCAAAUUAAAUUUCCCAAGGCCGAGCGAGGAGAACAUGUUAUGUCCAUGAUGAAGACCAAAUAUACUACUGGUUAGUUAAUUGUCACUUGUCUAAUGCAAUGGUUACAAUAAAUCAAUAUUGGUGCUGAACACCACAAUGAGUAACCAGGACACAAAGUAAUGUCAUAGCAAAAUGAUUAUAUUAACACACAUUUAUAUUUCACAAAUGGCUGGCAUUUUACUCAAAUGUCUUUUGAACUUGGUGCACCAUAAAUAUUUCCCCCAGAAAAAAAAGCUUGUUCUUUUGAGAUGCUUUUCUACAGUCCUACCACAUACAUUUGAAUGUAAAAAUGAAGUAGAAACAAACUGGGAUGAAAUAAAGACUGGUAGUGACA